CCUACGGGGAGCAGCAGUGGGGAAUAUUGGGCAAUGGGCGCAAGCCUGACCCAGCAACGCCGCGUGAAGGAAUAAGGCUUUCGGGUUUUAAACUUCUUUUUUCAGGGACGAAGCAAGUGACGGUACCUGAGUAAUAAGCCACGGCUAACUACGUGCCAGCAGCCGCGGUAAUACGUAGGUGGCAAGCGUUAUCCGGAUUUACUGGGUGUAAAGGGCGUGUAGGCGGGAUUGCAAGUCAGAUGUGAAAACCACGGGCUCAACCUGUGGAUUGCAUUUGAAACUGGAGUUCUUGAGUACUGGAGAGGCAGACGGAAUUCGUAGUGUAGCGGUGAAAUGCGUAGAUAUUAGGAAGAACACCAGUGGCGAAGGCGGUCUGCUGGACAGCAACUGACGCUGAGGCGCGAAAGCGUGGGGAGCAAACAGGAUUAGAUACCCGUGUAGUC
rnacentral:rRNA from 1 species